UACGUAGGGUGCAAGCGUUGUCCGGAAUUACUGGGCGUAAAGGGCUCGUAGGCGGCCAACUAAGUCGGACGUGAAAUCCCCCGGCUCAACCGGGGAAGGGGCGCCGAUACGACCGUCCUGGAGGAACGUAGGGGGAGCUGGAACUUCCGGUGGAGCGGUGAAAUGCGUUGAGAUCGGAAGGAACGCCCGUGGCGAAAGCGAGCUCCUGGACGUUUUCUGACGCUGAGACGCGAAAGCCAGGGGAGCGAACGGG
rnacentral:rRNA from 1 species